AGUAAUGAUUCUGUGAGUAGUGGCGAGCGAAAGCGGAAGAGACUAAACCUGUGGUGUGUGAUAGCGGUUAGGCGUUGCAUCAUGGGGGUUGUGGGAGUCACAGUGGCAGUUCUAACUGGCUGCCGGCAUGAUGUUCAGGAUGGUAGGUGAACGACUUGGAAUGGUCGGCCGUAGAGGGUGAGAGUCCCGUAAUCGAAAUUGUUCUGUCCGUGGUGUGGCCACCCGAGUAGCGCGGGACUCGUGAAAUCUCGUGUGAAUCUGCCAAGACCACUUGGUAAGCCUAAAUACUACUUGAUGACCGAUAGUGCAUAGUACCGUGAGGGAAUGGUGAAAAGUACCCCGGGAGGGGAGUGAAAUAGUACCUGAAACCGUGUGCCUGUAAGCCGUCAGAGCCUUGUGGGGUGAUGGCGUGCCUUUUGAAGAAUGAGCCUGCGAGUUAGUGAUACGUGGCGUGCUUAACCCGUGUGGGGUAUGCGUAGCGAAAGCGAGUCUGAAAUAUGGCGUUUGUCGCGUGUUCUAGACCCGAAGCGGGGUGAUCUACCCAUGGUCAGGUUGAAGCAGAGGUAAGACUGUGUGGAGGACCGAACCCACCAGGGUUGAAAACCUGGGGGAUGAACUGUGGGUAGGGGUGAAAGGCCAAUCAAACUCCGUGAUAGCUGGUUCUCCCCGAAAUGCAUUUAGGUGCAGCGUUGCGUGGUCCCUGGUGGAGGUAGAGCUACUGGAUGGCCGAUGGGCCCUGUGGGUUACUGACGUCAGCCAAACUCCGAAUGCCAUUAGGUGUAGCGUGGCAGUGAGACUGCGGGGGAUAAGCUUCGUAGUCGAGAGGGAAACAGCCCAGAUCAUCAGCUAAGGCCCCUAAGCGUGCGCUAAGUGGGAAAGGAUGUGGAGUCGCGGUGACAACCAGGAGGUUGGCUUAGAAGCAGCCAUCCUUGAAAGAGUGCGUAAUAGCUCACUGGUCAAGUGGUUCUGCGCCGACAAUGUAGCGGGGCUCAAGCGUACCGCCGAAGCUGUGGCAGCAACACGGAUAGCUGGCGCCAGGAACUGGAGUGUUGGUGUGUUGUUGGGUAGGGGAGCGUCCUGCAUGAGGUGAAGCCUGGAGGUGACUUCUGGUGGAUUGUGUGGGAGUGAGAAUGCAGGCAUGAGUAACGAAUCUGCGGUGAGAAUCCGCAGCGCCGAUUGACUAAGGGUUCCAGGGCUAGGUUUAUCCGCCCUGGGUUAGUCGGGUCCUAAGGCGAGGCCGACAGGCGUAGUCGAUGGACAACCAGUUGAUAUUCUGGUACCGCGUUGUGACCGUCCAUGCUGAAGUCAUUGUGCUAACCAAUCUGCCCGUACCCCCGCAUGGCUUUCGGGCCUUGUGGGUGUGUGUGGGUCUUGGGGUCCCGGUGAUUGUAGGCAAGCGUGUUAACAGGGGUGACGCAGACAGGUAGCUGCAGUGCGCCGAUGGUUGUGCGUAUUUAAGGUUGUGGCCCGUCCCUCAGGUAAAUCCGGGGGGCACGAAGGGUGAGAACUGAUGAGGGUGACACGGUUGUGUCGUCUUGUGGUGAUCCUAUGCUGCCGAGAAAAGCCUCGACGUGAGGGCAUGACGCGCCCGUACCCUAAACCGACUCAGGUGGUCAGGUAGAGUAUACCGAGGCGUUCGAGUGAAUCGUGGUUAAGGAACUCGGCAAAAUUCCUCCGUAACUUCGGGAUAAGGAGGACCCCGUGACUUCCCCACACCGUGCGUGUGGGUGGGGUUGUGGGGUCGCAGAGAAUAGGGAGAAGCGACUGUUUAUCAAAAACACAGGUGCGUGCGAAGCCGUAAGGCGAUGUAUACGCACUGACGCCUGCCCGGUGCUGGAAGGUUAAGAGGAACCGUCAACGCCCUUUGGGUGUGAAGCGGUGAAUUUAAGCCCCAGUAAACGGCGGUGGUAACUAUAACCGUCCUAAGGUAGCGAAAUUCCUUGUCGGGUAAGUUCCGACCUGCACGAAUGGCGUAACGACUUCUCCGCUGUCUCAACCGCGAACUCGGUGAAAUUGCAGUACGAGUAAAGAUGCUCGUUUCGCGCAGAAGGACGGAAAGACCCCGGGACCUUUACUAUAGCUUGGUAUUGGUGUUUGGUUUGGCUUGUGUAGGAU
rnacentral:rRNA from 1 species